ACACUUUCUGAGCAGCAAGCAGCCAGAUAACCAUGGCCCAUUCUGCAGAUUUAAUUUGAGUAUCAACAGAUCCAGAUUUGGUAAGCAUUUUUUUUUUCUUUUCUUACCAGACUCCAAGAGAGCCACAGGAAAUAACUGGCACUGGCUGCUUGGCAUAUCCCUUUCCUCCAUUUUGGUAAUUUCUCUAUAACCCUAAGAAAGCCGUUUCUGGAAGAUCAGAAGAUUUCAUCCUAGAACAGACCUAGAAGGCAGAGAAAACGAACAGGAAGCUGCAGUUCCCUUUUGCAUCGUUAUGGUCUUCACAAUUUGGCACAUCUCAUGCCUGCGCUGGGAAUCAGCGUCCUCAAUCUUCCUUGUCUUUCUUCUUUCUCUGUAGCUAGUAUACCACGAAAGUAGAUUGCUCGUGAAUGUUGCGUUUUGCUGCUGCCUCAUAUCUGGAGUUUCCGUCUUAGAGCGAAGGCUCAUCUUUGAUUCUGGGUCGUUUUUGUUGUUGUUGUUGUUGUUGUUUUGUUCGUUUGUUUGUUUGAGACAGAGUCUCACACUGUCGCCUGGGCUAGAGUGCAGUGGCGCGAUCUCAGCUCACUGCAAGCUCCGCCUCCCGGCUUCAAGCGAUUCUCCUGCCUCAGUCUCCAAGUAGCUGGGACUACAGGUGCUACAGAUGUGUGCCACCACUCCCAGCUAUUUUUUUUUUUUUUUUUUUUGUAUUUUUAGUAGAGACGGGUUUUCACCGUGUUAGCCAGGAUGGUCUCGAUCUCCUGACCUCGUGAUCCGCCCGCCUCGGCCUCUCAAAGUGCUGGGAUUACAGGCGUGAGCCACUGCGCCUGGCCGACCCUGGGUAGUUUUUAUACCAAAGCUUAGUUCGUUUCUUACAGUUUCCUGAAAGUUAAUUAUAACUGGCAUCUUUUUAGAAGGUAACAACUAUUUGUUAGAAGAGUGAAGUAGAUGAGAAGGCUUAAUUUUAAAAAGGGCUAAUAACUUCGGUCAUUACUCCUCAGCUAUAAGAAAAUAACAGAAAAUAAUAGGAAAACUGGCCGGGCGCGGUGGCUCAUGUCCAUAACCCCAGCACUUUGGGAGGCCUAGGUGGGCGGAUCACCUGAUGUCAGUUCAACACCAGCCUAGCCAACAUGGCGAAACCCCGUCUCUACUAAAAGUCCAAACAGAAAAAAGAAAAAAAGAAAAAAUUAGCCAGGUAUGGUAGUGGGCGCCUGUAGUCCCAGCUACUCGGGAGGCUGAGGCAGGAGAAUGGCGUGAACCCGGGAGGUGGAGGUUGCAGUGAGGGGAGAUCGCGCCACUGCACUCCAGCCUGGCGACAGAGCGAGACUCUGUUUCAAAACAAAUAAUAAUAAUAAUAAUAAUAAUAAUAAUAAUAAUAAUAAUAGGAAAACUGCAAAUCUGGCUAGCUGAUUUCCUUCCUUCCUUCCUUCCUUCCUCACUCCCUUCCUUCCGUCCUCUCUUUCUUUUUCUUUCUUUUCUCUUCCUUCCUUCUUUCCUUCUCUUUCUCUUUCUUUCUUUUUAUUUAUUUCCAUUUCUUUCUGAAACAGAGUCUCACUCUGUCACCAAGGCUGAAGUGCAAUGGCGCAAUCUUGGC
rnacentral:lncRNA from 1 species